UGGUAACUCAGUCCCCUUUUUCCCCCCACUACGACGCCCCUGUACUGAACGGUUUGCAUUCGUUGCUUUUUAUUUCUUGCUUUGUUUGUUAAUUCAGUUCCCCACCUUCCGUAUAUGGCAAAUAUUUCGCAAGUAUAGCUGUCUUUUGCCGUAUUGUGUUGAUACUGGCGCUGGGGGUGAUUUUUUUUCUCCUUUUUCCUUAUUGGAAGGAGACGUAUGAAAACCUUAUGUUUAAAUUAUAAAGUUCACGCCACUGUCUUGUGCUGAGUCCGCAUGAGAGAAGGAAUCGCCCUCUAAAAUAAGCGUUUUAAGUCACCAGUCCUACACUGAAGCCACCCGGGUAGCGUGGUGAAUGAUUAAACACACUGCGGUGCAUCUGUGCUUCACAGUCUAGGCUUUCAGACUGACAAUAUGUGCAUCCUGCUAGAGCAGGGACGCCAUGCAGGCAGCGUGGGUGUGUCUUUAGGACCCCGCAGAUGCCGGUCUUCCCCGCCGCUUACCCGGCGAUCCGGCUCGGCUGACUGCGCUGCCAGGCUGGGAGCUUCGGCGAACCGCUCCUCCUGCUAGUCUCCACCAGCCCUAGGCAUCGUUUCACCCGGACCUUGCAUUUCUACGAGGAAAAAAAGACAACAAAGAAAGGAUAUGCUGCGGGAAUGGUGUGCCUUGGCUGAGGCGGCUGCGUCCGCGGCUUAAGCAGCUGUCAGUCAAUAUGCGCAGCCUCCUCUUUCCAAAAAAUACCUGAAGAGGCUGGAGACACAAUAUUUAAUGCGUCCGAUGACGGCUGCAGCUUUUCCCGACUGAUAAAUAAAUUGUGCAUUUUGAAUUUGCCUCUUUUUGCAGUUUGGAGGGCUGUACUGAGGAAUUUAUGUUUUUUGUUUUUUCAUUUUUUGUAGUUAACGUAGGUAUGAACAGGCUUCACGCUGCUCUACGCCCGGUGGAUGCAUUGUAUCAUUUGCAUGAUUGGGGCAUCAUUCCGGCUGUUAUUAGCGAGGAGCAAGAUGUGCAUUGACGUGUGAGCGCCGAUCUCCUAAUGCGACGCGGUUACCCCCGAUCCCGGUGAUCCCGUCCGUCAGACUGGGCUGCUUAAGGGGGCUGUACCCACAUAUCUGGGAGAAACCAUUAAUCAAAUACCGCUCUCCCCAGUAAGCAAUAAUGUCAGCCAUAGAACUGGAGCACUUUGACGAGCGGGACAAGGCGCAUCGGGCUUCACGCCGGACCGGCUCGGGCUCGCAGGCUGGAUCCAGGGGCAGCAGCCUGGUACCGAGUCCGGCGCACAGCGCCAACUGCAGCUUCUACCGCACGCGGACCCUGCAGGCUCUCAGCUCGGAGAAGAAGGCCAAGAAAGUGCGCUUUUACCGCAAUGGGGACAGAUACUUCAAGGGUCUGCCGUACGCGGUGUCCGGCGACCGCUUCAGGUCCUUCAGCGCGCUGCUCAUGGAGCUCACCAAAUCCCUGUCGGACAGCAGCAGCCUGCCCCAGGGCGUCCGCUGCAUCUACACGCUGGACGGCACAAGCAAGAUAACCAGCCUGGACGAUUUCGUAGAAGGUGAGAGCUACGUCUGCGCCUCCAAUGAGGCAUAUCGCAAGGUGGACUACGCCCAGAACACCAACCCCAACUGGUCGGUGAACGUGAAGGCGGGGGGGGCAAAACCCCGCAGCAGCCCGGGCUCGCCCCGCAGCAAGCCGCGCGACACCAAGGACUUCAUCAAGCCCAAGCUGGUGACCGUGAUCCGCGGCGGCGUCAAGCCCCGAAAGGCCGUGCGCGUGCUGCUCAACAAGAAGACCGCCCACUCCUUCGAGCAGGUUCUGGCUGACAUCACAGAGGCCAUCAAGCUGGACUCAGGGCCUGUCAAGCGACUCUAUACUCUGGAUGGCAAGCAGAUCACCUGUCUGCAGGACUUCUUUGGAGGUGACGAUGUCUUCAUUGCCUGUGGUCCUGAGAAAUACCGCUAUGCUCAAGAUGAUUUCGGACUCGAUCUCAGUGGCAAGGCCUCUGCUAGCUUUGUGAGCGAGUGCCGAGGGCUGAAGUCCUCAUCCAAUGCUCCAAGGCCGUCCGGGCCCAAGAGCCCAAGUCUGCAGCGCCGGAACAAGCCCCCGGCCACAGGUGCCAGUCAGAGGUCUCCAACCAGGCCGACCAACUCCCCCAGCCCCAGCAGCAGCAUGCUGAGCCGCAGGCUCUCCCCGCAUCGCAUCUCCACCUCCAGCGUGAACCGGGCUGCGGAUGAGACUGAAGACUUAAGCCCAGAAGCAGUGAAUGGAAACACUGUGCAGACCUCCUCGGCCAUCCUGGACAAGUACAAGGUUGGGAAGGUCAUCGGAGAUGGCAACUUCGCCGUGGUGAAGGAGUGCGUGGAGCGGGCCACCGGGAUGGAGUUUGCCCUGAAGAUCAUCGACAAGGCCAAGUGCAGCGGAAAGGAGCACCUGAUCGAGAACGAGGUGGCCAUCCUUCGGAGAGUCAAGCAUCCCAACAUCAUCAUGCUGAUCGAGGAAGUCGACACACCUACAGAGCUCUACCUGGUCAUGGAGCUGGUCAAGGGUGGGGACCUGUUUGAUGCCAUAACCUCCUCUACGAAGUACACAGAGCAGGACGCGAGUGCCAUGGUCUACAACCUGGCCAGCGUCCUCAAGUACCUGCACAGCCUGAACAUCGUGCACAGGGACAUCAAGCCGGAGAACCUGCUGGUCUGCGAGUACUCCGAUGGCACCAAGUCUCUGAAGCUGGGAGACUUUGGCUUGGCCACCGUCGUCGAGGGGCCGCUGCACACCGUGUGUGGGACGCCCACCUAUGUCGCCCCGGAGAUCAUUGCUGAGACUGGGUAUGGGCUGAAGGUGGACAUCUGGGCGGCCGGAGUCAUUACCUACAUCCUGCUAUGUGGCUUCCCCCCCUUCCGCAGUGAGAACAACCUGCAGAAGGACCUAUUUGAGCAGAUCCUGGUGGGCAAACUGGAAUUCCCGUCUCCUUACUGGGACAGCAUCUCAGACUCUGCCAAAGAGCUGAUUGGCCAGAUGCUGCAGGUGAAUGUGGAAGCCCGCUACACUGCCGAGGACGUCCUCGCCCACCCAUGGGUGACGGAUGAUGUCAUGGUGGAAGGCAGUGUGAGGGUGGAGUCUGCAGAGCCUAAUGAAGCAGGAGAGGAGGACGAGAGCCCUGUGGGCGCAUCUGUCGCCAUGGUGAGGCGCUACUCUCACACUCAGGCCGGACAGUGCAUUCAGGGGUACUGCAAAUGGGAUGGAAACCCAGGAUGAUUCAAGCUACCAAGACAUGGCGACGGGCCCCCGAACAUGCCAGAAGGGUGGGGGGAGGGUUCUGUCCUCACCACCUGAUUUCACUGUAUUUUAUAAAUACCUCUUUUCAUUCCAACAUAUAGUUACUCAGAGAAACAAUAUGAAUAAUCUCAUUUCACAGCACGGAAUUGGUGCCUGUAACCGAGCUGAAUGAAAAGCCUGUUUGAAUGCAGUGCAGGGAGCAGAGCAGGAAGCUUUAGGAAUCCUGCAAACUGGAAUGCUGCCUGCGAAAUGUAAAACAGAAUAUUCUGGGCAGUGACACGGAGCGCAGCGUCUGCAGGGGCCGGGGUCUGUGGCCGUCCGUCACUGGGAAUGAGCUCGCCGACUGACGGAGGCUGCCCGGGCUGUACUGCGCUGUGUCGGUGUGGGGCCUGGGGCAGUCUAGGGGGCGGCUGCAGUCAGCCGUCGGGGCUGAUGUGAAGGACAGUGCGAUCCGCCGCUUGCUGCUCUCGGCAGUUUUUUGUCCUGUAGAUGGAGGGCUUCAGUCCCCAGGGAGGUGUGGAGGUGCGACUUUGCCGUAAACGGCAGCGGCGACCGACUGACCUCCAUUCCCUGUGGAUAGGCUGCUCCCCGAGUGUGUGGCUGCCAGUGCCAGGGUCCCCUCGGCCCCAGGUCCCCCUGAGCAUGUGACUGUAGGCCCCUGGGUGGCCCCAUGCUGCUCCAGUUUUCAAGCUGCGCUCAGCGGACCCGUCCGAUGUCCCGUUCCGUUUGCUUCAUGCGCCGCUUGCGAGGGCCGGCUCGCAGGAGUACAGCGCUAUUCCUCCUGACAUCCUCCGCCGCCUGUCACAGCUCUCCUACGGCGUGGCGCCUCUCAGGCACGCCUGAAACGGACUUGCUGUCCGCGGAGCUCUUCCUCCCGUUCAGUCUCGCUCUGUAUUUUCAGCACUGAAUCCUGGAUGGCUGAUGCUGCCGCUCGGUAUGGGAAAUGCUCCUUUUUCAAACAUGCAGCGUCUUGUGGCUUUUGGCAGCUGCUUUUAUGUAGGGGAACGAGCUGUUCUAAUAUUACAAACACACUGCUUUACAGUGUGCCAUGUUAUAUGUUCACUGGACAUUCUGCAGUCAAAUACAUUAUUUAAGUGUACAUAUGGUGAUUAUUUAAAUAUCUAUUUUAUUUAAAUGUAGGUUUUAGAAUUAUGCUGCAAGCCUAAUUAUGAAUAUUAAUUGUAUAUUUCAUACAAAGACAAUUACAUAGAAACCAAAACACAUUUGUUUGAGUUACAGUGCCACCUAGUGCUAGGAAGUGGCAAGGCAACUUUCACUGCUAUUUCACUGCUAUUUCACUGCUAUUUCACUGCUAUGCUGCUGUAUCUCGGCAGAGGCAGAGAAACAUGUUGCCUUAUAUAAACUAACCUGACCCAGUGGUCAUAAUGUGCAAGCAAAGCUUACUAAUGUAGCCUCUAGACGUCUGCUUGGACGCUGUACUACAUUAACUGCUUUUAUCCCUCUGCUCUUUUACACCUGCCUGGUCACUCUGCUUAGCUCCAAGAUGACGACGAGCACAGCUCCAGGUAAACAGCAUCCUGUCCUGUCCAGAGGCCCAUGGUGGGACACCUUCCAAACCCCCCCACUGCGUGUCUCCCUCCUCCCAGUGCCAGUGGGGACUUUCAGCGGGGUCCAGGCAGACCCCG